CUUGGGAGCUGCUUUUUAACUGAAGCUUUUCCACUGGCCCCUGCCUGUGCUAUAUCACAGCUAGAUCGAAGCUAUGUCCACUCCUGGUCUCAGACCUCCUCACCCUCUGGGCCCUGACGCUCAGCACAUACACACAUUCUGGACUUCAGAAAAGGCUCCAUUCCUUCCUGUUCCUUGCUGUGAACUAUUUAGUGGCUGUUUUGGGAGCAUUUCAGGAAACAGCCGCCUUGGCAGAUCACGCACCAGGCUGACAAAGAUGCUGCAGCAAUCCAGAAGAUAAAAUAGCUUCAUUGGCCUUGAGUGGCUUUUCUUGUCCUUCUGCAGGCUCACACUGCAGAAAAUGCAAUGACCAUACUGUGAGCGGUGUCAUUUCAGUCAGUUGAGAGCCAAUACGUGAGUGAUCGCACGUGUUGCAGAGAUGUAUGUAUCACAGAAUUAAAAUGGUGCAGCUCUGCAACUGUAAAAGACAAGGAAACUUCAAACAGAUGUGAGUAAAGACAUGUCACGAGAAAAGGUGACUGCCUUUCCUGGAUCUCCUGGAUUUCCUACACUAAGCAUAGUAAAUUGUCUUGGAAAAAAAAAUCUACUUUUACUAUCUGUAAGCUAUAAUUAGUGUGUGAAUGAGGAUAAUUCAGGAAUUGUACAUAUUUUGAUGGAAACUGUUUCCAAAGAAUUAUUAUUUUCAGCAGGAAAAUGUGGCAUUUAGCCAACCCUUUUUUUUUCUCAGUUUAAAGUCACACAAGAGAAGUCACACAUAGAGAGGAGCUAGGCAGAUGGCUAUUUCAUGUGGAAAAUUGUUUUCAACUUCAGUGUCAAAAUAAAGAAUGUUUAGCUGUUUCCAAAUCAAAAUAUUUUGUAGCAUUUUAUUCCACUAGUGAUAUUUAGACUUCUUAUACUGACUGAACACCAAAAUGAAAUAUAAGCAUUACAGAAUUUCAUGUAGGCUGUAAAUUCUGUUUUAUGACUAGGUCUAAGCAUAACUGAAGUAAACAAACUAAAGUGUGGGGUUUUUUUCUUUUUCUUUUGAAAAUAUGUUGGUUUUGCAUAGAGUGUAAAUCAAUAUAUGAUGUGAAUCAAUACUUGCAAUAAUUAUUGUGAGGAAUAACAGAGGACCACAAAAAUAAAGACAGACAUGUUUAUGGCAUCUUAAUUUUCCUUUUAAGAAAACAGGAAAAAUGAAGCCUUCACAGAUGAAGGCCAGUUUUGCAUUGUAUUUCCUCCCAGAUAUUUUUUUAGCAUUUUUUAAAGUUCACAAAUCAAGGCAAGGGCAUCUUCUCUUGUUCUCAGUAGGCAAAGUAUAUAGUUUUACUGCAAGGGGAAAAGGGCAGCAAAGUUGAUCUGCAAAUAUCUUCCUUGAGCCUUAGUAAUUUUAGACAGGUGCCCUUUGCUUAGUGAUACUUUUUUCUUGAAAGAAUGCAUCUUGGCACAAAGGGGAAAAAAAGUAAUUGUAGACAUCUGGCCUUUAGAAAGCCAAUGGCUUACAAAUUAAUUUUACUGGAGGCUGUAGCAAUUACAAGACUUGAUAUUGCCAUCUGGAUAUUCAACUGAACCUCACUGCAGAUACCAUUCCUCUGUCCAUGUUUCUGUUGCAAUUUAUUGAGGAAAUAUAGUGCAUUCUGACAUGUCCUAAAAUAUUGUGUCACUGUUAAAGAUAAUCAAGUUCCCGGUCCCUGUGCUGAUACUGAAAACCUCUCAGAGGCUGGCACUCAUUAUGUGAAAGACCACUUCUCACUCCGCAAGUGCUGUUUCUCUCUUUUGACAGUCGUCUCCACUGAGACCCAGGCUGCUGCUGCUGGGAAUGAGUUCCCAUGCUGGGGUGGGCAGAGUGCUCUCCAAGGAGCUCAAAACAUCUUUAAUUAAACCUUUAAUUAAACCUUUUUUAUAGACUAGGCAGAGAACCAUUGAUGUCCAAGAUGACAACACCUGUCUUGGAAACAAAAUCUUUUUGGAGGAAGGUACUAGUUCCAGUGAAAGGUCUAUCUAAGCAGGUCAAACUUCCGGCCAAAGAAAGAGAGGGAAAAGGAAAAUAGUUUGAGAGUAAGUCAGUAAUCCAGAAAAUGCAGGUUCAGAACUGUCCUCUGCCCGAUAACCACAGGGGCACCGAGCUCCCCUAUCUGGAGCGUCCUACUCCCCAGGGCACGGGCAGAAUUUCUGUCACCACUUUUCACACACAAAACAGCAAGGUGUGGAGGGCCUUUUUCAGAAUGAAACAGGAAUGUUUUCAAAACCGUGAACUGUUCUGUAUGAUGAAAAGAAACAUUUAGAGCUCAACUCCAGUGCUAGCACAAACAAAAUAACAUACAGUGCAGUACAAUACAAUUCAAGAACUCUUUUUCUUGGAAAGAGGAAUCCAGAGAGCACUAGAUGCAAUGAAAAAGACCACAGUGCCAACAGCAAACUUAGAGUCUACUUUAUACUACCAGUAUAACACAAAGUCUCCCCAACUCUGAAGGCUCCUGAAUUUGUAACCUUACUCCUGGCUCCGGGACACAGCAACAGCUCUGUGCCCCACUCCAGAAACUCCUUUACUGUCCUCGGCAGGAGGUGGGACUGCAGAGGUCAUCAAGGCAUUGGCAGUGUGGACCUGUAACCAGGACAUUGACACCUUUUGGGACAACUGCAUCAUGCUCACCCAGCCAGCAUCAUUCAAAGGUGGGCUGGGUUGGAGGAGACUCAAAGUCUGUCAUGGUUCCCUGGGAACUACAUCCACAUCAGUGCUGAAAUUGCCUGCAUCAAGCAUUGUAAACCCAAAGCCAAUGGCAUGUUAUGCAAGAGGUAUUAACAUGUCAGGAUUCCUUCUUAUUAUUUAAAAUCCCUUGGCAAUAUUUUUCCUGGUUGUCUAGCCCUUAACUUACAGAGCUUGCUUGAUGGCUUUCUGUGUCUCUUAAAUAUUUGGGUUCUUGUUACUUCUGUUCUGCUUUGGCUUCUUAAACUGUCUGCUCUUGAAGUGCUUUUAUUUCUAGUAAAUAAACCUGGAAUUUAAAUAAUGAUUAAA